CCCAGGAGUUUCAGAUUAGCCUGGGCAGCAUAGUGGGAGCCUUCCUCCACAAAAAAUUUUAAAAAUUAGCCAGGCACAGUGGUGUGCACCUGUGGUCUCAGCUACUUGGGAGGUUGAGGCAGGAGGAUCAUUUGAACCCAGGAGUUUAAGAUUACAGUAAGCUAUGAACAUGCCACUCACUGUACUACAGCCUGGGUGACAAAAUGAGACCUUUAUUUCUCAAAAAAACAAAACAAAAAAUAUAUCAAUGUUCAACAUUCUGAUUGUCACAAUUCCCAUUUAAACUUUUUUAAAGCUCUUCAACCUAAAACAGAUUAUUUCCGUUGCUUCUGGGAAGCAGAUGGAAGACCGGACAGGAGCCUGUGGUUUCCCGCAUGAAUACACCCAUCUCCUUUGUAUUUAGCUCAAAUCUCACUUUUGCAGUGAGGCUUAUUAUGACUACCCUAUUUAGACCUCAAAUUCACUCAUACUAUGGCAUUACUUUUUUCUCAUCCCACGUCCCACCUUCCAGUACAUUACAUAAUGUACUCAUUUGCUUAUUAUUUUUUUUAUUAUCUGCUUCCCUACACUAUACAGACUCUGUUUGGUCUACUGAUACAUCUAUCUAAAGCAAUUAGAACCAUGCCAAGCACUUAGUAAAAGUUCAACAAACAUUUCCUGAAUUGUAAAGUCAUAGUUCAAACCAAUCUUUGACCAAUAUUACUAA
rnacentral:lncRNA from 1 species